CAAACAUUAUUGAAACUCCGCGUUGGUGAAACGCGAGAUGAAAAGGGUAUCCUCUGUCACGGCAUUUAAACUUGCAUCUAUUAAAGCCUUGUUGUCACCUAAACGACAUCUAGCUAGUCUAGACUGUAUCGUUCGAUGGAUAUCGAACUGCCUUAUAGUCACGCCGUUGGCAAGACACGUGAAAGACGGUCGGAAAAGGAAGAGAACGAAAGUCAUGUCCAUUUAUCUUACCUUUCCUUCUCGUCACCUUUGACCAAAAAAUGAAGAAAAUGUUUCGUUGCCUUCCGCAUUUGCCUCAGUUGAUAUGUGUGUGCAAGGUGUUCUGUUGGGGAUAAAUGUGCACCCAGACCUACACGGAAUCUCCACUUGAAAGGUCUAUCAAAAAUAUGACGAGUUCUGCAUGUCCUUUAUGUUCGACGAUCAGUUUCUUCUCACAAG